CCCCGCAGUUGUUGGAAUUUUGAAUUUUCUCACAACAGUCUUUGGAAAUAACCGUCGCUUCGUGCUCGAUCCGUUUUGGCCUGUGCUUCUUCGGUGCAACUUCGUCGUGUAUUCAAGGUUAUUUUGAAUGGACAGCUUCGCUGAUAAGCUAACGGAGUGGCGGCUGUCUGAGCUGAUAGAGAAUUUUAGAGGCCAUCCACAAACAUAAAAGAGGCCCUGGCGCUAUCAUUGGUUUAGACAUUCCCUGAAUGAUGCAUCAGACAUUGGCUAUAGACUCCUGAAUGAAAACCAAGCUCUGAGGGAGGAGAACCACGCCCUGAGGGAAAGCAAUGCACGAGCAGGUGCAGAUCAGACCCUAAUUCUGCGACGUCUUGGAGAUUUUGGCGAUGUUGUGCGUAGCAUGGACAACAAAAUGGAAACUAUGCAGCAACAUUUCAGUGCCAAUGUGUCUGUUGGAGAGCCACUGAUGAGGCGGUCCAGGUUAACGUUACGCGUUACCUGAAAGGAGCAUCUGACCGUGAAGGCGGAAAAAAGGCACCGCACAGCUGAGAGGGACCCACAGCCGACCCCUUAAACCUAGGCUGACUACUGACACCCCCGCAUCACUGACAACUGGAACACUGUCUUUAUCCUGCAGUCAGUAACAUCAAGAAGCCAGAAGUGCCAGACUACACUCACCCAAUCCACACUAUUCACACUGUGGAAAUUAUUUCUUCUUCUUCUUCUAUGCCCCAUGACCUUGCCUUGAGGGCAGCGCCUUGAAUGGAUAUGGGAUGGUGAGGUUGUUUGUCCUUUAUACAGGUGCACGAGGGAUCACUCAAGAUAUGCCCAUUUUGCCCUGCCUCAUUCUGGAGAUCCCGUAGUCAGGCUUGAAAGACUGAUUAUCAUUACUUAGACUGUCCUGCAAUUCUUAGCCCACUACCCCACACAGACCCCAACCACUCCACACAUUCUGAUUGGCUGUGUUCUCUACAGCCAGAUUUCCUGCUGUUAAUUGUGUUUGUUCCCACUUGUUGUCAUGUGUAAAUUUAAUGUCAAAAUGUAUAUUACCUGUUAUCCUGCACAUUCUUUGAUACCAAAGAUCUCAAUUACUUCCUAUACAAUUUACUGCCUAUUUCAUUGUUACAGUGCUUAACUAUUGUAUUUAUAAAUAUAGCUUGUAAAUCCUAGAUUAUACCUCUAAUACUGAUAUCUGCACAUUAUCUGUUCUGGUACCAAAUAUUCUACUUAACGUGACUUUAGUAUUGGCUUAUUUCAUUCCGUCAGUGCUUAACAAUGGUAUUAUAGUUUGUAAAUCCUAUUUCAUACCUGUUACUUGAUAUUGCACAUUAACUAGUACCAAAAUUCUACUUUCAUUCCAUCAGUGUGCUUAACUGUUAUUCUAUUAAAAAUAGCUUGGAAAUCCUAUUUUACCAAAUAUUCUACUUACUCUGUUUUUAACAUUUGCUUUUUUCGUUCCGUCACAGUGCUUAACUUUUAUUCUAUUGUUAAAUAGAACUUGUAAAUCCUUGUGUCACAAGUCAGCAUUGCAGUUAUAAUGGUCUGUUCUACUACUGUUUUUACCUCAGAGUGUGUGUGUGUGUGUGUG